GUCGUACGAGAAAUCCCGAGCUUGCUUGGGAGAGUAAAGUGGCGCACGGGUGAGUAACGCGUGGGUAACCCACCUUCGAAUCUGGGAUAACUCCGCGAAAGCGGUGCUAAUACCGGAUAAGACCACAUUCCGUUCGCGGAAAGAGGUAAAAGCUGACCUCUCCAUGGAAGUUAGCGUUCGAGGACGGGCCCGCGUCCUAUCAGCUUGUUGGUGGGGUAAAGGCCUACCAAGGCAGCGACGGGUAGCUGGUCUGAGAGGAUGAUCAGCCACACUGGAACUGGAACACGGUCCAGACUCCUACGGGAGGCAGCAGUGAGGAAUUUUGCGCAAUGGGGGAAACCCUGACGCAGCAACGCCGCGUGGGUGAAGAAGGCUUUCGGGUCGUAAAGCCCUGUCAGGUGGGAAGAAACUCUUCAGUACUAAUAAUGCUGAAGCCUGACGGUACCACCAGAGGAAGCACCGGCCAACUCCGUGCCAGCAGCCGCGGUAAUACGGAGGGUGCAAGCGUUGUUCGGAAUUAUUGGGCGUAAAGAGCGUGUAGGUGGCUUGGUAAGUCAGAUGUGAAAGCCCUGGGCUCAACCCAGGAAGUGCAUUUGAAACUACCAGCUUUGAGUACGGGAGAGGA
rnacentral:rRNA from 1 species